rnacentral:rRNA from 1 species
GGGGGGGGCGGGGGGGGGGGGUGGCGGGGGCGGGUCGCGCGGGGGGGCCCUGCUUUUGGGGGGUGCUCGAGUGGCGCACGGGUGAGUACCACGUGAGUGCCCUGCCCUUGGCUUUGGGAUAGCUGCAGGCACCUGUGGCUAAUACCGGAUCGUGUCUCCUGCUGCGUGGUGGGGGUUGGAAAGCUUCGGCGGGUGGGGAUGGCCUCGCGGCUUCUCAGCUUGUUGGUGGGGUAGUGGCUUACCAAGGCUUUGACGGGUAGCCGGCCUGCGAGGGUCCCCGGCCACAUUGGGACGGAGAGACGGCCCAGACUCCUACGGGAGGCAGCAGUGGGGAAUAUUGCACAAUGGGCGGAAGCCUGAUGCAGCAACGCCGCGUGCGGGAUGACGGCCUUCGGGUUGUAAACCGCUUUCGCCUGUGACGAAGCGUGAGUGACGGUAAUGGGUAAAGAAGCACCGGCUAACUACGUG